AUUGAACGCUGGCGGCAGGCCUAACACAUGCAAGUCGAGCGGAUGAAGGGAGCUUGCUCCUGGAUUCAGCGGCGGACGGGUGAGUAAUGCCUAGGAAUCUGCCUGGUAGUUGGGGAUAACGUCCGGACACGGGCGCUAAUACCGCAUACGUCCUGAGGGAGAAAGUGGGGGAUCUUCGGACCUCACGCUAUCAGAUGAGCCUAGGUCGGAUUAGCUAGUUGGUUGGGUAAAGGCCUACCAAGGCGACGAUCCGUAACUGGUCUGAGAGGAUGAUCAGUCACACUGGAACUGAGACACGGUCCAGACUCCUACGGGAGGCAGCAGUGGGGAAUCUUGGACAAUGGGCGAAAGCCUGAUGCAGCCAUGCCGCGUGUGUGAAGAAGGUCUUCGGAUUGUAAAGCACUUUUAGUUGGGAGGAAGGGCAGUAAGUUAAUACCUUGCUGUUUUGACGGUACCAACAGAAUAAGCACCGGCUAACUUCGUG
rnacentral:rRNA from 1 species